GAUGAACGCUGGCGGCGUGCCUAAUACAUGCAAGUCGCGCUAACAGACGCGAGUGCUUGCACUCUCUGACGUUAUCGUCGGACGCGUGAGUAACACGUGGGUAACCUACCUUUCCGACUGGGAUCACUUCGGGAAACCGGCGCUAAUACCAUAUAAUAUUUAGCUUCGCAUGAGGCACUAGUGAAAGACGGUUCUGCUGUCACUUAUAGAUGGACCCGCGGUGUAUUAGCUAGUUGGUGAGGUAACGGCUCACCAAGGCAACGAUACAUAGCCGACCUGAGAGGGUGAUCGGCCACACUGGGACUGAGACACGGCCCAGACUCCUACGGGAGGCAGCAGGAGGGAAUCUUCCGCAAUGGACGAAAGUCUGACGGAGCAAUGCCGCGUGAGUGAAGAAGGUUUUCGGAUCGUAAAACGCUGUUGUAAGGGAAGAACAAGUACGUUAGUAACUGAACGUACAUUGACGGUACAUUACCAGAAAGACACGGCUAACUACGUG
rnacentral:rRNA from 1 species